GUAUUAACUUGCGAUAAGCCCAGAUUAGGUAGUAAAAACCAUUUGAGUCUGGGAUUUCCGAAUGGGGAAACCCAAUACCAUAAGGUAUUACUGUUGAGUGAAUACAUAGCUCAACAGGGCGAACCGGGGGAACUGAAACAUCUAAGUACCCCGAGGAAAAGAAAUCAACCGAGAUUCCGAAAGUAGCGGCGAGCGAAAUUGGACUAGCCCUUAAGCUUUACACGCGUU
rnacentral:rRNA from 1 species